GACGAACGCUGGCGGCGUACCUAAUACAUGCAAGUCGAACGCCCUCGACCUUCGGGUCACAUGAGGGAGUGGCGAACGGGUGCGUAACACGUGAGAAACCUGCCCUAGAGACGGGAAUAACUCGAGGAAACUCGUGCUAAUGCCCGAUGCCCUCUUUGGACCGCAUGGUCCGCUGAGGAAAUGCUCAGGCGCUCUAGGAGGGUCUCGCGGCCUAUCAGCUUGUUGGUGAGGUAACGGCUCACCAAGGCAUCGACGGGUAGCUGGUCUGAGAGGACGAUCAGCCACACUGGGACUGAGACACGGCCCAG
rnacentral:rRNA from 1 species